UGAUGGCUGAUUUCUGUCUUGAAGAUCUGGUGGAUAUCCAGAUGAACUGAUUUUCCCAGGCAGACUAUAGACACUAUCAGGCACAGAAUGAUGCAAACUGUAGGGCACCUGUUGCCGCUGCAAGUAUGGCUGAUUGGUAGAAGACUUCAAAAUCUCUCCUGGAGCAAAAUUGUCACCAGAAAAAGAUUGCAUUUUGUUUGCAGGUCCUUGCGAAAAGGGUAUAGGUUGAGGGUAAUUGUUGCUCCGAAUGGAGUCUGAAACCCUUGCAGCCUGCAGUGGGAGCUGUUUUAAAUGAUCUCCUCCGAAAAGACCAGAUUGUUGACUGGAUGGGGUGCAUCCAGGUAAAGGUUUCAACUUAAAACCUUGCAAAUGUAUGGGAGGUUGAUGUGGCUCCUGCAAUGAAGGGUACGCUUGAUGCUGGAACUCACCAACCUGAG
rnacentral:misc_RNA from 1 species